UACGUAGGUGGCAAGCGUUUGUCCGGAUUUAUUGGGUUUAAAGGGUGCGUAGGCGGCCUUUUAAGUCAGUGCUGAAAUACUCUAGCUUAACUAGAGGGGUGGCAUUGAGUACUGAAAGGCUUGAGUGAAGUCGAAGUAGGCGGAAUUGACGGUGUAGCGGUGAAAUGCUUAGAUAUCGUCAAGAACACCGAUAGUGAAGACAGCUUACUAGACUUCAACUGACGCUGAGGCACGAAAGUGUGGGGGAUCAAACAGG
rnacentral:rRNA from 1 species